UCUGCAAUCUGCGUGCGCGCACGACGAGGUACUUGAACCGUGUUUGGUAUUUAUAUUUCAGUGUUUGUUGGCUCAGUGCAGUUUUCUGUUUUCACGAUGUGUUACAAGGGAAAAUGUAUCGGAGUGGAGACGGGUUCGCUCAUCUGGGCUAUUCUUAAUGUGUGUUCCACAGGUUGGUACUGCUACUGCAGAUGGUUCGCAACACGUACUUGAAGUUCAAAAGGGGUUGAAUUUUCCCGAAACUUAUUCCCCGUGUUUAAGCAUGAUUUCAUAUUUUUUUCACCGUUUUAUAUUUUUAAUUAUUUUUUCAACUUAAUAUAAAUAGGGUAGUAGGUAAUGGAAACUUUUAAAAUUAUGCCCGUAAGGCCAUGUUUCAACAUCAUUUGCAUUGAGUGUCCAUGGGCGUGUGGCCGCCCGUUUGCCCCGUUCUAUAAAAAAAAAUCUGUAAUUGCUAAGACUCGUUAGUAAGAUAUUAAAACGAGCCGUUUUUUGAAUUUUUAAUUUACAAGGCUUUGGUUA